AUUUGCAUAAACGGAGUGUCACGGCUUUAAAACCACUUGUUGAAGACCAAGUAUCAUCAGACUUGUAGCUUGCCUCCUAACAACAAGUAGGACAUAUUAACUUGAAAGUUUCAGUAGAUUUUCUGAUCACAGACACAAUGAAGUGCGUAUUGAUAAUUGCCUUAGUGUUGUGUGUGAUGGUAGCUCAUGUCCGAUCACAGGCCGCUGGUCAAGCAGCACAGAGACAACAAGCAGUCAGGCAAAUGCGUGGAGGUAGCAGUAGUGCCAUGUUGCCAGCAUUGAUGGCAAUGGGAAAAGGCGGCAAAAUGAACCCUUUGAUGCUUCAGAUGCUCAUGUCCGGUAGAGGCGGAAGAGGUGGUAUGGGAAGCAUGAUGCCCCUUAUGUUGAUGGCUGAAGGAGGAAUGGGCGAGUCCAUGCUUCCACUUUUAUUAAUGUCCCAAGGUCAAGGAGGAUCAUCAUCCGGAGGCCAAGGAUCAUCAAGUGGCGGCGGACUUAUGAAUAUGUUAUUAAUGAACCGCAUGUUUAAUUAAGUUGAAUGUGUCCCGUAGACAGUGACUGUAACAUAAGAUGUGAUCUAUGAACGUUUAAUGACUGUGUGAUACUAUCCGUCGAUAUUUAUAAAACAGACAUCUUUGGCCUGUAUUUGUUGAUUGUGUUGUUUGCUUUUCACGUGCUGUUGUUUGUAAAAAAUAAACUAAACAAACUCGUGGUGUAUGCCUUGCUUUUGUUUAAUUAAUUUCUUG